GACGAACGCUGGCGGCGUGCCUAAUACAUGCAAGUAGAACGCUGAAGAGAGGAGCUUGCUCUUCUUGGAUGAGUUGCGAACGGGUGAGUAACGCGUAGGUAACCUGCCUUGUAGCGGGGGAUAACUAUUGGAAACGAUAGCUAAUACCGCAUAACAAUAGGUGACACAUGUCAUUUAUUUGAAAGGGGCAAUUGCUCCACUACAAGAUGGACCUGCGUUGCAUUAGCUAGUAGGUGAGGUAACGGCUCACCUAGGCGACGAUACAUAGCCGACCUGAGAGGGUGAUCGGCCACACUGGGACUGAGACACGGCCCAGACUCCUACGGGAGGCAGCAGUAGGGAAUCUUCGGCAAUGGGGGCAACCCUGACCGAGCAACGCCGCGUGAGUGAAGAAGGUUUUCGGAUCGUAAAGCUCUGUUGUAAGUCAAGAACGAGUGUGAGAGUGGAAAGUUCACACUGUGACGGUAGCUUACCAGAAAGGGGCGGCUAACUACGUG
rnacentral:rRNA from 1 species